GAUGAACGCUGGCGGCGUGCCUAAUACAUGCAAGUCGAGCGAACAGACGAGGAGCUUGCUCCUCUGACGUUAGCGGCGGACGGGUGAGUAACACGUGGAUAACCUACCUAUAAGACUGGGAUAACUUCGGGAAACCGGAGCUAAUACCGGAUAAUAUAUUGAACCGCAUGGUUCAAUAGUUAAAGACGGUUUUGCUGUCACUUAUAGAUGGAUCCGCGCCGCAUUAGCUAGUUGGUAAGGUAACGGCUUACCAAGGCAACGAUGCGUAGCCGACCUGAGAGGGUGAUCGGCCACACUGGAACUGAGACACGGUCCAGACUCCUACGAGAGGCAGCAGUAGGGAAUCUUCCGCAAUGGGCGAAAGCCUGACGGAGCAACGCCGCGUGAGUGAUGAAGGUCUUCGGAUCGUAAAACUCUGUUAUUAGGGAAGAACAAAUGUGUAAGUAACUAUGCACGUCUUGACGGUACCUAAUCAGAAAGCCACGGCUAACUACGUG
rnacentral:rRNA from 1 species